CCUACGGGAGGCAGCAGUGGGGAAUUUUGGACAAUGGGCGCAAGCCUGAUCCAGCCAUGCCGCGUGUGGGAAGAAGGCCUUCGGGUUGUAAACCACUUUUGUCAGGGAAGAAACGGCUUUUUCUAAUACAGAGAGCUAAUGACGGUACCUGAAGAAUAAGCACCGGCUAACUACGUGCCAGCAGCCGCGGUAAUACGUAGGGUGCAAGCGUUAAUCGGAAUUACUGGGCGUAAAGCGUGCGCAGGCGGCUUUGCAAGACAGAUGUGAAAUCCCCGGGCUCAACCUGGGAACUGCAUUUGUGACUGCAUGGCUAGAGUACGGUAGAGGGGGGAUGGAAUUCCGCGUGUAGCAGUGAAAUGCGUAGAUAUGCGGAGGAACACCGAUGGCGAAGGCAAUCCCCUGGACCUGUACUGACGCUCAUGCACGAAAGCGUAGGGGAGCAAACAGGAUUAGAUACCCUGGUAGUCCACGCCCUAAACGAUAGUCAACUGGUUGUUGGACGGCUGCUGUUCNGUAACGAGCUAACGCGUGAAGUUGACCGCCGUGGGGUAGUACGGCCGNGAAGGUUGAAACGUUCGAAGUUGAGUUGACGG
rnacentral:rRNA from 1 species